AGCAGCCGCGGUAAUUCCAGCUCCAAUAGCGUAUAUUAAAAGUUGUUGCAGUUAAAAAGCUCGUAGUUGAAUUUCGGGAUCAAUACGUCGGUCGUGCUUCGGUACGUACUGGCGUAAUUGAUUUCUCCCUUCUGACGAACCAUGAUGUCAUUAACUUGGUGUCAUGGGAAAUCAGGACUGUUACUUUGAAAAAUUAGAGUGUUUAAAGCAGGCUCACGCUUGAAUACAUUAGCAUGGAAUAAUGAAAUAGGACGUUCGAUCCUAUUUUGUUGGUUUUUUAGGAUCAACGUAAUGAUUAAUAGGGAUAGUUGGGGGCAUUAGUAUUCAAUUGUCAGAGGUGAAAUUCUUGGGAUUUUUAUUGAAGACUAACUACUGCGAAAGCAUUUUGCCAAGGAUG
rnacentral:rRNA from 1 species